rnacentral:misc_RNA from 1 species
GAUGAAGAACGCAGUGAAAUGCGAUAAGUAGUGUGAAUUGCAGAAUUCAGUGAAUCAUCGAAUCUUUGAACGCACAUUGCGCCCCUUGGUAUUCCAUGGGGCAUGCCUGUUCGAGCGUCAUUUGUACCCUCAAGCUAUGCUUGGUGUUGGGUGUUUGUCCUCUCCUUUGCGAUUGGACUCGCCUUAAAGACAUUGGCAGCCAGUGUAUUGGUCUUGAAGCGCAGCACAUUUUGCGAUUCUUGCUGAUAAUCACUAGCGUCCAGUAAGCCUAUUUUAACACUUUUGACCUCGGAUCAGGUAGGGAUACCCGCUGAACUUAAGCAUAUCAAUAAGCGGAGGA